rnacentral:rRNA from 1 species
UGAGGAAUUUUGCGCAAUGGGGGAAACCCUGACGCAGCGACGCCGCGUGGAGGAUGACGUCUUUCGGGAUGUAAACUCCUGUCAGUGGGAACGAUAAUGACGGUACCCACAGAGGAAGCACCGGCUAACUCCGUGCCAGCAGCCGCGGUAAGACGGAGGGUGCAAGCGUUGUUCGGAAUUACUGGGCGUAAAGCGUACGUAGGCGGUUGAUUAAGUCAAAUGUUAAAGCCCGGGGCUCAACCCCGAGGAUGCAUUUGAUACUGGUCGACUAGAGGGCGAUAGAGGAAAGCGGAAUUCCGAGUGUAGCGGUGAAAUGCGUAGAUAUUCGGAGGAACAUCGGUAGCGAAAGCGGCUUUCUGGGUCGCUCCUGACGCUGAGGUACGAAAGCGUGGGUAGCAAACGGG